GGCGGACGGGUUAGUAACGCGUGGGAACGUGCCCUUCUCUACGGAAUAGCCUCUGGAAACGGAGAGUAAUACCGUAUACGCCCUUUGGGGGAAAGAUUUAUCGGAGAAGGAUCGGCCCGCGUUAGAUUAGGUAGUUGGUGGGGUAACGGCCUACCAAGCCUACGAUCUAUAGCUGGUUUUAGAGGAUGAUCAGCAACACUGGGACUGAGACACGGCCCAGACUCCUACGGGAGGCAGCAGUGGGGAAUCUUAGACAAUGGGGGCAACCCUGAUCUAGCCAUGCCGCGUGAGUGAUGAAGGCCUUAGGGUCGUAAAGCUCUUUCGCCUGUGAUGAUAAUGACAGUAGCAGGUAAAGAAACCCCGGCUAACUCCGUGCCAGCAGCCGCGGUAAUACGGAGGGGGUUAGCGUUGUUCGGAAUUACUGGGCGUAAAGCGCGCGUAGGCGGAUUAGAAAGUUGGGGGUGAAAUCCCGGGGCUCAACCUCGGAACUGCCUCCAAAACUGCUAGUCUAGAGUUCGAGAGAGGUGAGUGGAAUUCCGAGUGUAGAGGUGAAAUUCGUAGAUAUUCGGAGGAACACCAGUGGCGAAGGCGGCUCACUGGCUCGAUACUGACGCUGAGGUGCGAAAGUGUGGGGAGCAAACAGGAUUAGAUACCCUGGUAGUCCACACCGUAAACGAUGAAUGCCAGUCGUCGGGUAGUAUACUAUUCGGUGACACACCUAACGGAUUAAGCAUUCC
rnacentral:rRNA from 1 species